GAACGCACCUUGCGCUCCUUGGUAUUCCGAGGAGCAUGCCUGUUUGAGUGUCUUGAAUAUCUCAACCCUCUAGAUUGCAAGAUCGAAAAGGGAUUGGACUUGGAGGCUUGCUGGCUUUGUUCAGCUCCUCUCAAAUGCAUUAGCUAUGGAUCGCGCAGCAUUGGAUCUACGGUGUGAUACAUGUCUACUCCAAGGAUUUAAUGCGAUAAUCACCGCUUCGGUAGUGUGUGUCUUUAAUUUGAUACACCGUGUGAUGAGCGAAUACAAAGCUUCUAAUCGUCUUCGGACAAUUACUUUGACAUCUGACCUCAAAUCAGGUAGGACUACCCGCUGAACUUAAG
rnacentral:misc_RNA from 1 species